UCGAAUCCUUGCCUUCCUUAUUACCCUCAGUGGACGCAGCGAGCCCGGACGUGGCAGGACUGACCACCACCACCACCACCUCCACCUCCACCACGAAGACUACAGGUUAAUUAAUGCAGGGAACAGACCGCGCACUUAGAACAGCAAAGAAGAAGAAGAGAAGCAGGAAGAACUGAAGAAAAGGAGCGCCGAGGAAAGAGAGAAGAGGAAACAAACAAUAAAGAGGAGAGAGAAAGGACAAGAACAUGGUGGCAGCAAGACAGUUAGCCUUAAGUGGCCUGCCCUGCUUGCCUGCCUACACCUCACUCCACACGCAGGGACUUGAAGGCCUCAGACAGAGUUUCUCUCAGUACACCUGGCUUGGCCCCGAGAGCAUUAACCA